UACGUAGGGGGCAAGCGUUGUCCGGAUUCAUUGGGCGUAAAGAGCUCGUAGGCGGUUCAGUAAGUCGGGUGUGAAAGCUCCGAGCUCAACUCGGAGAGGCCACCCGAUACUGCUGUGACUUGAGUCCAGUAGAGGAGCGUGGAAUUCCUGGUGUAGCGGUGAAAUGCGCAGAUAUCAGGAGGAACACCGAUGGCGAAGGCAGCUCGCUGGGACGGUACUGACGCUGAGACGCGAAAGCGUGGGGAGCGAACAGG
rnacentral:rRNA from 1 species